GGGCAUGCUGCACCCAACAUUGUAGACGCGGACUGCGCGAUCGCCUGCUGCGGCGCGUGACGAAGGUGCAAGCCGGCAAUGGAGCCGAUUGUUGGAGAAGAAGAACGCCGCGAGCGCCGGCACGAAAGUGUGUGGCCCCGCGACGGGGAAGCGCCUUGACGUCAAGGGGUGCCUCCCGAAGCCACGCCGAAUCGUCGACGACGAAGGAGAGAGCACCGAAGAGGAUCUGGUGACCCAUGCUCGAAACUC
rnacentral:lncRNA from 1 species